GUCGGUAAGCUGUUCGCGAGAGACAUCCAGAUGCGUCACCAGACGCACAAUCGGCGCGGCGUUAAUCAGGAUAUUCCGUUCCCGCAAAUAGUCGCCAAGCGCGGCGGCCUGUGCUUCGCCAACGCGAACAAACAGCAUAUUCGUUUCGUGGCGCAUGACCUCCGCGCCCGCUUCCCGAAGCUGCUGCGCCAGCCAGGCGGCGUUAUCAUGAUCCUCUUGCAGACGCGCCACGUUAUGCUUCAGCGCAUACAGUCCGGCCGCUGCCAGAAUCCCGGCCUGACGCAUUCCGCCGCCGACCAUUUUACGCCAGCGCGUCGCGCGUUUAAUGUAGUCG
rnacentral:misc_RNA from 1 species